UCCAGCGAUAGAAAUAUUUAAAGUUUUAAUUCUUAAAUUAAAUUGUUUUCCCAAGUUAAUCCAACAUAAAUUGGUCAUUGAAGUUUUUUUCGAUAUUUUACAUUUUUCAAGAAUUAUCAUCAUUAUCAUCCGAUUUCCAAUCUUGAAUUGAUGGUUGAAAUAAGAAAGAUGAGAAUAAAAUACAUUUAUCAUUAUCCUCUAUCUCAUAGGUACAAGUUGUACUGACUCUUCCAUUAGUAUUUAUUUUUUAUUUUUCAUUUUUAUUUAAAACUAAAUCAACUUCUUUAUGACAUAGUGUUUUCCAGCCUUUUUAUUAGUUAAUUUUAGCAAUGGGUAAUUCUAUGUGUAAAGCAUACAACGAUACACCACUUAUAAAAUUAAAUCUAAACUGCAUUUGUAUAAAAAGAUCCGAAAAUGAAAUUGACUAUCAUGAUAAUGUAGACAGUGAAAAAAUUAAAAGAUAAAGAAAAA